rnacentral:lncRNA from 1 species
AGGGAAGGAGGCCAGUGGUGCGAGGGUUAUCGCACCACCUCAGAUGCCGGAUAAGUCGAAGGACGCAGAAUCGCUUCUGGAUGACGUUUGGAAAGGCUGCAGUGAUUAUUUCAAAGAGAAAAGCCUACCUAUUCUUUCCAAGGUAAACAGUUCAUCUUAUCUGCC